rnacentral:rRNA from 1 species
GACGAACCGUGCAAACGUUAUUCGGAAUCACUGGGCGUAAAGGGCGCGUAGGCGGCUCCAUAAGUCAGGGGUGAAAUCCGGCAGCUUAACUGUCGCAGUGCCUUUGAUACUGUGGAGCUAGAGGGAGGUAGGGGUCUGUGGAACUUCCGGUGGAGCGGUGAAAUGCGUUGAUAUCGGAAGGAACGCCGGUGGCGAAAGCGACGGACUGGAUCUCUUCUGACGCUGAGGCGCGAAAGCCAGGGGAGCAAACGGG